CCUACGGGAGGCUGCAGUGGGGAAUAUUGGACAAUGGGGGCAACCCUGAUCCAGCCAUGCCGCGUGUGUGAAGAAGGCCCUCGGGUUGUAAAGCACUUUCAGUGAGGAAGAACGCCUGGUGGUUAAUACCCAUCAGGAAAGACAUCACUCACAGAAGAAGCACCGGCUAACUCCGUGCCAGCAGCCGCGGUAAUACGGAGGGUGCGAGCGUUAAUCAGAAUUACUGGGCGUAAAGCGCGCGUAGGUGGCUUGAUAAGCCGGUUGUGAAAGCCCCGGGCUCAACCUGGGAACGGCAUCCGGAACUGUCAAGCUAGAGUGCAGGAGAGGAAGGUAGAAUUCCCGGUGUAGCGGUGAAAUGCGUAGAGAUCGGGAGGAAUACCAGUGGCGAAGGCGGCCUUCUGGACUGACACUGACACUGAGGUGCGAAAGCGUGGGUAGCAAACAGGAUUAGAUACCCUGGUAGUC
rnacentral:rRNA from 1 species